CUGUAACUCUGCAAACUCCAGUGUAGAUUUGGCCUUGUGUUGUAGGUUGUCUGGUGGAAAGCAGACUGAACCAGGUUUUCUUCUAGGAUUUUUCCUGUGCUUAGCUCCGUUCUAGAAUUUUUUNNNNNNNNNNNNNNNNNNNNAACAAACGUGGUUUUCUGAAAAUAAGUCUGUCGUCACAUGGUGGUGGUUAGUGUCAUACUAUUGGUUAGACAGUUUCCCCUUUAAUGAGGUUGACAGUUAAAACUGUCUCUUACAUUAGACUGAGUCACACAGAGGCUCCAGCUGUGCAGAGAACAGACACAAACCAACAACUGAGAUAACAGCAGACUUUACAGCAGUAGAAGUUACAACAGUAGAAGUUACAACAGUAGAAGUUACAGCAGUAGAAGUUACAACAGUAGAAGUUACAACAGUAGAAGUUACAGCAGUAGAAGUUACAACAGUAGAAGUUACAACAGUAGAAGUUACAACAGUAGAAGUUACAACAGUAGAAGUUACAGCAGGAGAAGUUACAACAGAAGUUACAAGACUAGCAGUUACGAGUUGAAGACAAAUAACCUAAUUAAAUAAAUACCAUGGAUAUUGAUGAUUGUAUAUAUGCCAAUCAAAGACCCAUAAAGCCCCACAAGAAGGAUGGAGUGGGUGAUCAACAUUCAGUGUUUUGUCAGUGGUGGAAGAGAUACUCUGGAGCUGCUGCAGUAUGUCUGGGGUUGCUGUGUGUUCUCCUACUGGCUGGGAUCAUAGGCCUGUUACUCUACCGUGAGUUUGAUAUGUUCUCACUCAAACAUUCUUCAUCAUCAGUGGUGUAACAACCAGGGUUGAAUUACAUUUACAUUCCAGUCAAUUCAAUUCAGAAAGUAAGCCAACUUUCAAUUCCACAUUUUCAUGAUUUGAAAAGCAUUGAAGAUAAUUGGAAUUCAAUUAGAAUUCCAGUUUAUUUCCUGAAUUGACUGGAAUUGAAUGCAACUGACCCCAACCUUGGUAAUGUCUGAUUAACUUUUCCACUGUUA
rnacentral:lncRNA from 8 species